UCGAACGGGNAUUACUUUUGGUAGCAAUACUAGAGUGAUUCAGUGGCAUACGGGUGCGUAACACGUGAGCAAUCUACCGAAAAGUGGGGGAUAGCUCGCCGAAAGGCGAAUUAAUACCGCAUGUGGCAGCAAUGCUAAAGCCGGGGCAACCUGGCGCUUUUUGAUGGGCUCGCGGCCUAUCAGCUAGUUGGUGAGGUAACGGCUCACCAAGGCGAUGACGGGUAGCUGGUCCGAGAGGACGACCAGCCACACUGGAACUGAGACACGGUCCAGACACCUACGGGUGGCAGCAGUCGAGAAUUUUUCUCAAUGGGGGAAACCCUGAAGGAGCGACGCCGCGUGGAGGAUGAAGGUCUUCGGAUUGUAAACUCCUGUCAUUGGUGAACAAAGCUUGCCGGUUAACUGCCGGUGAGACUGCUAGUAGCCGAAGAGGAAGGGACGGCUAACUCUGUGCCAGCAGCCGCGGUAAUACAGAGGUCCCAAGCGUUGUUCGGAUUUAUUGGGCGUAAAGGGUGCGUAGGCGGCAGUGUAAGUUGGACGUGANAUCCUGGGGCUCAACCUCAGAAUUGCGUUCAAUACUGCAUUGCUAGGGCGCUGUAGAGGAGAUUGGAAUUUACGGUGUAGCAGUGAAAUGCGUAGAUAUCGUAAGGAAGACCAGUGGCGAAGCGAAUCUCUGGCAGCAGCCGACGCUGAGGCACGAAGGCCAGGGAGCAAACGGAUUAGAUACCCCGGUAGUCCUGCANUAAACGUGCGCGUUGGUGU
rnacentral:rRNA from 1 species